rnacentral:misc_RNA from 1 species
GAUGAAGAACGCAGCGAAAUGCGAUACGUAAUGUGAAUUGCAGAAUUCAGUGAAUCAUCGAAUCUUUGAACGCAUAUUGCGCUCUUUGGUAUUCCGAAGAGCAUGCUUGUUUGAGUAUCAGUAAACACCUCAAAGCUUUUGGAUUUUUUAAUCGAAAAGCUUUGGACUUGAGCAAUCCCAACACCAAUCUUUUUGAGAUCGGUGGCGGGUUGCUUGAAAUGCAGGUGCAGCUGGACAUUCUCCUGAGCUAAAAGCAUAUUCAUUUAGUCCCGUCAAACGGAUGAUUACUUUUGCUGCAGCUAACAUAAAGGGAGUUUGACCGUAUUGGCUGACUGAUGCAGGAUUUCACAAGGGUCGGCAACGAUUCUUGUUAAACUCGAUCUCAAAUCAAGUAAGACUACCCGCUGAACUUAAGCAUAUCAAUAAGCGGAGGA